UUCCGUAGGUGAACCUGCGGAGGGAUCAUUACCAGAGUGCCCUAGGCUCUCCAACCCAUUGUGAACUUACCAAACGUUCCCUCGGCGGGCUCAGCGCGCGGUGGCCUCCGGGCCUCCGGGCGUCCGCCGGGGAAAACCAAACCCUGAUUUAAUCGUAUUUCUCUGAGGGGCGAAAGCCCGAAAACAAAAUGAAUCAAAACUUUCAACAACGGAUCUCUUGGCUCUGGCAUCGAUGAAGAACGCAGCGAAAUGCGAUAAGUAAUGUGAAUUGCAGAAUUCAGUGAAUCAUCGAAUCUUUGAACGCACAUUGCGCCCGCCGGCACUCCGGCGGGCAUGCCUGUCCGAGCGUCAUUUCAACCCUCAGGCCCACCCUUCCGGGGGAGCGGGCCUGGUGCUGGGGAUCGGCGGCCCUCGCGGCCCCCGUCCCUCAAAUACAGUGGCGGUCGCGCCGCAGCCUCCCCUGCGUAGUAGCACAACCUCGCACCGGAGAGCGGAACGACCACGCCGUGAAACCCCCAAUUUWKUAAGGUUGACCUCGGAUCAGGUAGGAAUACCCGCUGAACUUAAGCAUAUCAAUAAGCCGGAGGAA
rnacentral:rRNA from 1 species